UAGAGUUUGAUCCUGGCUCAGAAUGAACGUUGGCGGCGUGGAUUAGGCAUGCAAGUCGUACGGGCCGCAAGGCCAGUGGCGCAAGGGUGAGUAAUGCGACGGUAACCAACCCCAUGGGUGGGUAUAGCCGCGGGAAACUGCGGGUAAUCCCCAGCGACGCAAAUAGUCGGCAUCGAUUGUUUGCCAAAGCUCAGGCGCCGUGGGACGGGCCGUCGUGGUAUUAGGUAGUUGGGGGGGUAACGGNCCACCANGCCGACAAUGCCUACCGGGCGUGCGAGCGUGGCCCGGCACACUGGCACUGACACACUGGGGGGACUCCUACNGGAGGCUGCANUCAAAAAUCUUCGGCAAUGGGCGCAAGCCUGACCGAGCGACGCCGCGUGGAAGAUGAAAGCCUUCGGGUUGUAAACUCCUGUCCAGGGAAAGAAAGCUCCGCAAGGAGCUUGACUGAUCCCUGGAGGAAGCACGGGCUAAAUUCGUGCCAGCAGCCGCGGUAAGAACAAACCGGCGAAAGUUAUUCGGAAUCACUUGGGCUUUAAGCGGGUGUAAGCGGGAGAAACAUUCGUCGCUGAAAUUCCCCGGGUCAACCGGGGGAAAGGGCCGAUUUCAUCUUCCUUGAAGGGUCGUAGGGGGACCUGAACAUUCCCGCGGAACCAGUUAAAUGCGUCAAAAUUNGAACAANACCGCUCGCGAGAGGAGGCGUUGAGAUUUAUGUAGCUGAAACANAAGANGCGGUAGACNGUUUGGNAUAGAGUUUCCAUGUNGCGUCCGUGCAAAUAAGUUGUAUUUCUCGGUGGAGGGGAGUGAGCGAGCGGGGCAGUAAUGGGNAGCUGUACUGAGGAAGUUAG
rnacentral:rRNA from 1 species